rnacentral:rRNA from 1 species
GCCUAAUACAUGCAAGUCGAACGAGGUGCUUUCUGUAGCAAUACGAGAGUAUCCUACUGACGAACGGGUGAGUAACGCGUUGGUGACCUGCCCCAAAGUGCGGGAUAACAGUCCGAAAGGACUGCUAAUACCGCAAGUGGUUCUUGGAUUUAGAAACCGAGCUCUAAAGGAGCAAUCCGCUUUGGGAGGGACCUGCGUCCCAUCAGCUAGUUGGUGAGGUAAUGGCCCACCAAGGCUACGACGGGUAGGGGACCUGAGAGGGUGACCCCCCACAAUGGAACUGAAACACGGUCCAUACACCUACGGGUGGCAGCAGUAGGGAAUAUUGGGCAAUGGGCGAAAGCCUGACCCAGCAACGCCGCGUGUGUGAUGAAGGCCUUCGGGUCGUAAAGCACUUUUCUGGGAGAUGAGAAAGGACAGUAUCCCAGGAAUAAGUCUCGGCUAACUACGUGCCAGCACCCGCGGUAAAACGUAGGAGGCGAGCGUUAUCCGGAUUCACUGGGCGUAAAGCGCGUGCAGGUGGCGCGGUAAGUUGGGCGUGAAAUCUCCCGGCUCAACUGGGAGAGGUCGUCCAAUACUACCGUGCUUGAGAGCAGAAGAGGAAGAUGGAAUUCCCGGUGUAGUGGUGAAAUGCUUAGAUAUCUGGGAGGAACACCAGUGGCGAAGGCGAUGUUCUGGUCUGUUUCUGACACUCAGACGCGACAGAUAGGGUAGUAAACGGGAUUAGAGACCCCGGUAAUCCUCGCCGUAAACGAUGUGAACUAGGCGUUGGUGGGUUAAACUCCAUCAGUGCCGUAGCAAACGCGAUAAGUUCACCGCCUGGGAACUACGGCC